UACGUAGGGGGCUAGCGUUGUCCGGAAUCAUUGGGCGUAAAGCGCGUGUAGGCGGUCCGGUAAGUCCGCUGUGAAAGUCGGGGGCUCAACCCUCGAAUGCCGGUGGAUACUGUCGGGCUAGAGUGCGGAAGAGGCGAGUGGAAUUCCUGGUGUAGCAGUGAAAUGCGUAGAUAUCAGGAGGAAUACCGAUGGCGAAGGCAGGUCUCUGGGCUGACACUGACGCUCAUGCACGAAAGCGUGGGGAGCAAACAGG
rnacentral:rRNA from 1 species